CACGUAGGGUGCGAGCGUUGUCCGGAAUUAUUGGGCGUAAAGAGCUCGUAGGCGGUGUGUCGCGUCGGCCGUGAAAACCUGCAGCUUAACUGUGGGCUUGCGGUCGAUACGGGCAUCACUGGAGUUCGGCAGGGAAGACUGGAAUUCCUGGUGUAGCGGUGAAAUGCGCAGAUAUCAGGAGGAACACCGGUGGCGAAGGCGGGUCUCUGGGCCGAUACUGACGCUGAGGAGCGAAAGCGUGGGGAGCGAACAGG
rnacentral:rRNA from 1 species